GUCCAUUGACACGCGGCGAUGAGUUGGAACCGACUAAAAAGCGAGCUGCGAUCCACGAAAAAACUCAGACCGUCGCUGCAAGAGGCGCGUGAUCUCAAAAAACUCACGGAAAAGCUAUAAAUAGUUGCUGUAUUGAGUCUCGCAAUACCAAACUUGGAGCAACCCAGCAAACUUUCAUUUAAUCGGAUAUUACUGAAGUAUUCGUAUUUUAUUAUAUUCCCUAAAAUUAGCACUUGAAUUAAAGCAGUAAUAAAUGGGUAAUUAGGAGAUAUUUUAAGUGUUGUGGCCAAAUUUAAGUCAUGUGUGGUCACGCACCGCCCAAAAAUCCAGCAACUCCGCCCCGGGAUAACUUGUAUUUUGGCCACAUACACAAAUUGAGGCACAGAGUUAAAUGUUUACAACUCGAAAUUCAGCUGAAAAUUUUACCAAAAAAAAGAAGAGUGUUGGAUCGGCAAACCCGUUUUGGACUGCAAACAGACCCGUGGAAAAAAUACAAAGUUUUAAUUGGUUGGACAAACAAAACUCGAAACGAGCGUCUAAACAAAUCAAAGCCAGUCUGCGGCGGACAACGAACAACGUACUGUGAAUCCAGACCUCAGACACACGGAGAAAAACAAGUCGGUCGUAUCUCAGAUGAUCCUAGUUUUAUGCUUCUAGCAUUAAAUACUUCAUAUGUAUAUGUGCGGAACCCUGAAAGUCUUGUUCUUCUAUAUUAAAAUAAACAUACUCCCAA